rnacentral:rRNA from 1 species
GCUCAGGAUGAACGCUGGCGGCGUGCCUAACACAUGCAAGUCGAACGAAGCUUGACGGAUGAUUUCUUCGGAAUGAAACCUGAUAUGACUUAGUGGCGGACGGGUGAGUAACACGUGAGCAACCUGCCUUUCAGAGGGGGAUAACGGCUGGAAACGGUCGCUAAUACCGCAUGAUGUGUUCGGAUGGCAUCAUCUGAACAUCAAAGAUUUAUCGCUGAAAGAUGGGCUCGCGUCUGAUUAGAUAGUUGGUGGGGUAACGGCCUACCAAGUCUACGAUCAGUAGCCGGACUGAGAGGUUGAACGGCCACAUUGGGACUGAGAUACGGCCCAGACUCCUACGGGAGGCAGCAGUGGGGAAUAUUGCACAAUGGGGGAAACCCUGAUGCAGCAACGCCGCGUGAAGGAUGACGGUUUUCGGAUUGUAAACUUCUUUUCUUAGUGACGAAGACAGUGACGGUAGCUAAGGAAUAAGCAUCGGCUAACUACGUGCCAGCAGCCGCGGUAAUACGUAGGAUGCAAGCGUUAUCCGGAUUUACUGGGUGUAAAGGGAGCGCAGGCGGGACUGCAAGUUGGAUGUGAAAUACCGUGGCUUAACCACGGAACUGCAUCCAAAACUGUAGUUCUUGAGUGAAGUAGAGGCAAGCGGAAUUCCGAGUGUAGCGGUGAAAUGCGUAGAUAUUCGGAGGAACACCAGUGGCGAAGGCGGCUUGCUGGGCUUUAACUGACGCUGAGGCUCGAAAGUGUGGGGAGCAAACAGGAUUAGAUACCCUGGUAGUCCACACUGUAAACGAUGAUAGCUAGGUGUGGGGGGUCUGACCCCUUCCGUGCCGGAGUUAACGCAAUAAGCUAUCCACCUGGGGAGUACGACCGCAAGGUUGAAACUCAAAGGAAUUGACGGGGGCCCGCACAAGCAGUGGAUUAUGUGGUUUAAUUCGAAGCAACGCGAAGAACCUUACCAGGUCUUGACAUCCGACUAACGAGAUAGAGAUAUGUCAGGUGCCCUUCGGGGAAAGUCGAGACAGGUGGUGCAUGGUUGUCGUCAGCUCGUGUCGUGAGAUGUUGGGUUAAGU